AUACUUCCCUGGCAGGGGAGGUACCAUGAUCACGAAGGUGGUUUUCCCAGGGCGAGGCUUACCCAUUGCACCCCUGUGAUUUCCCAAAAUUCGGGAAACUCAACUGCAUAAUUUGUGGUAGUGGGGGGCUGCAUUCACACUCUCCCCUG
rnacentral:snRNA from 1 species